CUCGUUAUAAAAAAACAGGAUUAUGUGAAGGUAUUCCCAUGGUACAACACGAUUUAUUUCUACCUAAUCACAACAUGGUACCAAAAGCGGACAAUUAGGUAUGUCGACGUUGUAUGCUUCAAACUUCACCGAUGAUUUGGAAUCAGUAUUGUUCGCAGAGCUAGCGUAUGCUUAAAAUUUGGCACAUUUGUUUAAGCGGGUCCUCAAGGUUAAACCAGCUAAAUCCAUAUCUUGUUCCAACUGACAGAUUAGCAGAGUUCUUGCUUUAAAUUACUUUGGGAGACCGAAAAACAAACAUAGGAAAAACAACUUGGUGGGUAAGUACCGCAUUUGCGCGGAUAAUUCCACGCAAUGAUGAG